rnacentral:rRNA from 1 species
AGCGAACGCUGGCGGCAGGCCUAACACAUGCAAGUCGAACGGAUCCUUCGGGAUUAGUGGCGGACGGGUGAGUAACACGUGGGAACGUGCCCUUUGGUUCGGAACAACUCAGGGAAACUUGAGCUAAUACCGGAUGUGCCCCUCGGGGAAAAGAUUUAUCGCCAUUGGCGCGGCCCGCGUCUGAUUAGCUAGUUGGUGGGGUAAAGGCCCACCAAGGCGACGAUCAGUAGCUGGUCUGAGAGGAUGAUCAGCCACAUUGGGACUGAGACACGGACCAAACUCCGACGGGAGGCAGCAGUGGGGAAUCUUGCGCAAUGGGCGAAAUCCUGACGCAGCCAUGCCGCGUGAAUGAUGAAGGUCUUAGGAUUGUAAAGUGCUUUCACCGGGGACGAUAAUGACGGUACCCGGAGAAGAAGCCCCGGCUAACUUCGUGCCAGCCGCCGCCGUAA